rnacentral:rRNA from 1 species
CGCGUAGGCGGCUUUAUAAGUCAGAUGUGAAAGUCCACGGCUCAACUGUGGAAGUGCAUUUGAAACUGUGAAGCUUGAGUAUCGGAGGGGAGUGUGGAAUUCCCGGUGUAGAGGUGAAAUUCGUAGAGAUCGGGAGGAACACCGGUGGCGAAGGCGACACUCUGGACGAAUACUGACGCUGAGGCGCGAAAGCGUGGGGAGCAAACA